rnacentral:rRNA from 1 species
GACGAACGCUGGCGGCGUGCUUAACACAUGCAAGUCGAACGGAAAGGCCCUGCUUUUGUGGGGUGCUCGAGUGGCGAACGGGUGAGUAACACGUGAGUAACCUGCCCUUGACUUUGGGAUAACUUCAGGAAACUGGGGCUAAUACCGGAUAGGAGCUCCUGCUGCAUGGUGGGGGUUGGAAAGUUUCGGCGGUUGGGGAUGGACUCGCGGCUUAUCAGCUUGUUGGUGGGGUAGUGGCUUACCAAGGCUUUGACGGGUAGCCGGCCUGAGAGGGUGACCGGCCACAUUGGGACUGAGAGACGGCCCAGACUCCUACGGGAGGCAGCAGUGGGGAAUAUUGCACAAUGGGCGGAAGCCUGAUGCAGCAACGCCGCGUGCGGGAUGACGGCCUUCGGGUUGUAAACCGCUUUCGCCUGUGACGAAGCGUGAGUGACGGUAAUGUGUAAAGAAGCACCGGCUAACUACGUG